rnacentral:rRNA from 1 species
AUUGAACGCUGGCGGCAGGCCUAACACAUGCAAGUCGAACGAGUGGCGGACGGGUGAGUAAUGUCUGGGAAACUGCCUGAUGGAGGGGGAUAACUACUGGAAACGGUAGCUAAUACCGCAUACCAUCGGAUGUGCCCAGAUGGGAUUAGCUAGUAGGUGGGGUAAAGGCUCAACUAGGCGACGAUCCCUAGCUGGUCUGAGAGGAUGACCAGCAACACGGGAACUGGGACACGGUCUAGACUCCUCCGGGAGGGAGCAGUGGCGAACAUUGCACAAUGGGCGCAAGGCUGAUGCAGCCAUGCCGCGUGUAUGAAGAAGGCCUUCGGGUUGUAAAGUACUUUCAGCGGGGAGGCGUUACCCGCAGAAGAAGCACCGGCUAACUCCGUGCCAGCAGCCGCGGUAAUGC